UAUUAGCUCAGUUGGUUAGAGCGCACCCCUGAUAAGGGUGAGGUCCCUGGUUCAAAUCCAGGA
rnacentral:ncRNA from 20 species